UGCAUCGGCGGGAAUUGAACCGCGGGGCAGGCGAGCAUUCUCGCCACUGAACCACCGAAGC
rnacentral:tRNA from 1 species